rnacentral:rRNA from 1 species
UACGUAGAGGGCUAGCGUUGUCCGGAAUCAUUGGGCGUAAAGAGCGUGUAGGCGGCCCGGUAAGUCCGCUGUGAAAGUCGGGGGCUCAACCCUCGAAUGCCGGUGGAUACUGUCGGGCUAGAGUGCGGAAGAGGCGAGUGGAAUUCCCGGUGUAGCGGUGAAAUGCGCAGAUAUCGGGAGGAACACCAAUGGCGAAGGCAGCUCGCUGGGACGUUACUGACGCUGAGACGCGAAAGCGUGGGGAGCAAACAGG